GCAUGCGCCUUGGGUGCGGCCUGCCGCGCGCACGCGCGCGCCGAAGCCGGCCCGGCAAGGUGCCAGGGUCCCUCUCUGUUUGGGCUCCUCUCCAACUCCUGGGACUAUGUCUCAGGCCUACGCUGCCGGAGCCAAGAGCGCAGGGCGGUGGACGGGGCAAGUCCCUUUUUGGAUCCCUUCCCUUCGUCCCUCUGUCUCCUUCUACGAACAGCCCUAUGCGUCAGACUCCUGCGCCCCCGCUACCUUCUUUGCUGCAUGGAUGGAUGGCCCAAGAAUAUAAUGGCCCAGGAGAAGAUGCGCUAAGAGGCUGCGGACACUGGUUUGAAGAAGCAGCCACAGAAGGGAGCCCAGUGGAGGCACGUUCUUGUCGGAAUUGAAGAAAAGAGGGAUCGAUUGGAGGAAAUGGCUAGAUGAAGCUCAUAGCUCCACAGUUCUAGUCACUCAGAUGGCGAGGGUGUCAUGGCAGCGCGGGGCCUGACACAGGAUUGAACAGCUAUAAGUUAUUGCUCUGGGUUUUAUUUUGAGACAAGGUCACAUGUAGUCAAGCCAUCCUGACCUCAAAGUUUCAAUGUAGCCAACCUUAGAGUUAUCCUGUCUCUGCCUCCCCAGUCCUGGGAUUGCAGGUAGGAGCCGCCACACCUAGAGGAUACAACACUGAGUAUUGAAUCCAGGGUCUUCUGCGUGCUUGGCAAAGACUCCCCAAAUUGAGCUGCAUCCCUGACCCUGUUUUUGUUGUUUUGUUGAGUCAGGAUCUUGCAUUGGUGGGCCAGGGUGGCCUCCAACUUUGGUACGUUUUCCUGCUUCUGUUUCAAAUGCUGGGAUUAUAACAUGCGGCACAACUCUUAAUUAGCUCUUGGUUUGGUUUGGUUUUUAUAUGGAGCAUUGUCCAAAGUCCUUGCUGAUUGUGACGCACAAGCUGAAAAGGGGGUGGAACAAGGCAUCCUGGGUUAAUCCAAAAGAGGAGAGGAGAAGGACCCCUGACCCAAAUCAUCAUGGCCAGAUUUAUGAAAGCAAGCGAGCAACUGAAGCAAGCUUUUCUUAUUCUUGUACCCAGGCUGCCUUCCCCUAAGGCAGGGUUUGAGAGGUCAGCACUGGACAUGAGGAAGAUGAGGUGUUUAUAGCUCAGGGGUGGGGUGUUUCCAAAUGGGGAAUUUGGUGGGCGAAAUAGGUUGGAUUAGAGGGACAGAACAUAAGCAUACAAGUUAGUCAUAAGGAUCUCCUGAAACACAGACAUGAUUGCGAGGUGGUCAUAAGGUAGUCAUGACAACAGAGAGACACAGCCACCUUUUGAAACAAAGGUGGAGUUGCCCGACGGUUAUAACUUUUUGAAACAAAGACCUGGUUGCCAUUUCCUGGAACAGGCAGCACAAAACCACUUGUAGGUAAGGUUAUAGGUGGGGCAUAGCCCAAUCCUUGAGAAACAGAGGUUUAAUCAUGAACAGGAGUGAGCCUAGCUUGUCUUUAUUCUACAGUGGCUUUUAAGCCUAAGGUGGAGGCAGGCUAGUUCCUCACCUGGAGACCAGAGCUGAGUCCUGCCUCCUUUAAACUCCCGAGACCUCACCUGAGGGGUAGGGCUUGGCAGUCUCUCAGGCACGCUAACCUGACCUCCUCGUCCCACACCCUUUUCAGCUUGCCCCAGACUGGGUUAGGCUGGACCUGUGCCAGGCCAAGAGCAGCCCGCCUGCAAUCGGGGAAAGAACCAUUCUGGUUGUGCCUUUCCUAGCUGGGCAUCAAGAAGAAGAACGAAGUCCAGAAUGAUAAAGAUGGAGGCGUGUCCAGGUACUUCCUGAUCUCCCUUCGAAUCGCCACUUAACUGUAAGACUGGUGUGGCGAGUCUGGAACUUUGGAGGAAGCCCUUGAGUCCAAAGUGGCACCGUGGGCACACCAAGAUAAGGGCUCUGCCUACCAUCUUGCCAUCAGUCAGGAGAGAAGGCCUGCACUUGGACCAGAAGUCAGUCAGACCUGAUGCUGAGCGAUUGCAUUUGCUCUGGGCCUCACUUUCCUUAUCUGGGCAAUGGGAUCAUAAUGCCUGCUGCCUGGCUAUCUUUGGAAGCUGUUUCAGAGUGGACAUGAGUUCUAAACUCAGCUCUGAAUCUCAACUGGCUUCAGCCCUCACGGCCAAGGUUUGGUUUUCCUCAUUAGCAAACUUCUCCCAGCUCCAUUUGUCAUUGGUGGGAGGGUGAGGGUGAAGUCGUGACUGUAGAGGCUUAUUGUUUAAACUGGGUAUCCAGCUCUC